UCGUGUUCUUCUUCUUGCGUCGAC
rnacentral:siRNA from 1 species